rnacentral:rRNA from 1 species
AAGCAGGUCAUAGUGAUCCGGUGGUUCUGAAUGGAAGGGCCAUCGCUCAACGGAUAAAAGGUACUCCGGGGAUAACAGGCUGAUACCGCCCAAGAGUUCAUAUCGACGGCGGUGUUUGGCACCUCGAUGUCGGCUCAUCACAUCCUGGGGCUGAAGUAGGUCCCAAGGGUAUGGCUGUUCGCCAUUUAAAGUGGUACGCGAGCUGGGUUUAGAACGUCGUGAGACAGUUCGGUCCCUAUCUGCCGUGGGCGCUGGAGAACUGAGGGGGGCUGCUCCUAGUACGAGAGGACCGGAGUGGACGCAUCACUGGUGUUCGGGUUGUCAUGCCAAUGGCACUGCCCGGUAGCUAAAUGCGGAAGAGAUAAGUGCUGAAAGCAUCUAAGCACGAAACUUGCCCCGAGAUGAGUUCUCCCUGACCCUUUAAGGGUCCUGAAGGAACGUUGAAGACGACGACGUUGAUAGGCCGGGUGUGUAAGCGCAGCGAUGCGUUGAGCUAACCGGUACUAAUGAACCGUGAGGCUUAACCUUACAACGCCGAAG